UUUCCGCAGGUGAACCUGCGGAAGGAUCAUUAUUGAAACUUCAUCCGGGGCGCCGCGGCCCUCAGCACCGGUGGAAACGCCGUGCUGCGGGGGCCGCGCGUGCACUCGUCCAAACCAAACCCCUGUGAACCUUACGGGAUGGCCCGGGUUAGCGCCCGGUGCCGUUCCGCUUUAUACAAACACUUAUCAAAGAAUGAACUGAAGGCGGUCUGACCGCUGGAUAACAAACUGAAACAACUUUCAACAACGGAUCUCUUGGCUCUC
rnacentral:misc_RNA from 1 species